UCGAACGAGAUCUUCGGAUCUAGUGGCGCACGGGUGCGUAACGCGUGGGAAUCUGCCCUUGGGUUCGGAAUAACAGUUAGAAAUGACUGCUAAUACCGGAUGAAGUCUACGGACCAAAGAUUUAUCGCCCAGGGAUGAGCCCGCGUAGGAUUAGCUAGUUGGUGGGGUAAAGGCCUACCAAGGCGACGAUCCUUAGCUGGUCUGAGAGGAUGAUCAGCCACACUGGGACUGAGACACGGCCCAGACUCCUACGGGAGGCAGCAGUGGGGAAUAUUGGACCAUGGGGGCCACCCCUGAUCCANCAAUGCCGCGUGAGUGAUGAAGGCCUUCGGGUCCUAAAGCUCUUUUACCCGGGAUGAUAAUGAUGGUACCGGGGAGAAUAGCCCCCGGCUUACUCCGUGCCACCAGCCGCGGGGAAUAAUCACUAAUUGAAUUCCGGGGCGGCCGUAU
rnacentral:rRNA from 1 species